rnacentral:rRNA from 1 species
AUUUAGGUGAUGCCGGUGGGCUCCGGUCCAAUACCGGCUAUUGCCUUGCUCGUUGAAUACGGAACAGAGCUCCUGCGGACUCCUCCUCGGAGGAUGAUGCAUCCACCGCAUAUAUCGUGCAGGGAGCAUCCGUAGUAUCACUGUGAACAAAACAGCGUGUCCAAAGCAGUCCUAUGACUGAAUGCAAAAGCAUGGAAUGACAAGGGAUCGACCAUUGGUGCCAUCCCCCUUGUUGGUUUAUGUGGCCCAAAGGAGAGACGAGUUUGCGCGUCAUAACGUAUUCAGAUCUGCGGGGGAACCCAAUUUGACGUUGCGUAAGGCCGCGGCUCGACUGGGAUCAACAGGGGCUGUCGGGGGAAGAUGUAUCGGAAUGCGAGAGGUGAAAUUCUGUGACCAUUCCGAGACAAACCGAUGCGAAGGCUUCUUCCAAGUAUGCCUUCAUUAAUCAAGAACCAAAGCGUGGAGAUCGAAGAUGAUUAGAUACCAUCGUAGUCCACGCUGUAAAUGCUGGCGCCCAUGGGUUGGGUAGAUCGCUCCGCACUCCCCAGAACGAUCUUUUUGAACGAGAAAUCUCUGAGGUCAUGGCCUCAUGGGGGAGUACGUUCGCAAGGCUGAAACUUAAAGAAAUUGACGGAAUGGCACCACCAGGCGUGGAGCGUGCGGUUUAAUUUGACUCAACACGGGGAAGCUUACCAGGUCCAGACAU